rnacentral:rRNA from 1 species
UACGUAGGUGGCAAGCGUUGUCCGGAAUUAUUGGGCGUAAAGCGCGCGCAGGCGGCCUCCUAAGUCCGAUGUGAAAGCCCACGGCUCAACCGUGGAGGGUCAUUGGAAACUGGGGGACUUGAGUGCAGGAGAGAAGAGUGGAAUUCCACGUGUAGCGGUGAAAUGCGUAGAGAUGUGGAGGAACACCAGUGGCGAAGGCGGCAUCCUGGACCAACACUGACACUGAGGAGCGAAAGCCAGGGGAGCAAACGGG